GCAGUCGUAGCUCAGUUGGAUUAGAGCGCCUCCCUGCGAAGGAGGAGGUCAUAGGUUCGAUCCCUAUCGAUUGCACCA
rnacentral:tRNA from 1 species